GGUAAGAUGGCUGAUUUAAGGCGAUAAAUUGUAAAUUUAUUUAUGAAGAGAAACUUCUUUUAUCA
rnacentral:tRNA from 1 species